rnacentral:rRNA from 1 species
AUACGGAGGGUGCGAGCGUUGUUCGGAAUCACUGGGCGUAAAGGGCGCGCAGGCGGUUUGGUAAGUCAGAUGUGAAAGCCCACGGCUCAACCGUGGAAGUGCAUUUGAAACUGCCAGACUUGAGUACCAGAGGGGAAAGUGGAAUUCCCGGUGUAGAGGUGAAAUUCGUAGAUAUCGGGGGGAAUACCGGUGGCGAAGGCGACUUUCUGGCUGGAUACUGACGCUGAGGCGCGAAAGCGUGGGGAGCAAACAGGAUUAGAAACCCUAGUAGUCC